ACGGAAGGCAGCAGUGAGGAAUAUUGGUCGAUGGACGGAAGACUGAACCAGCCAAGUCGCGUGAAGGAUGAAGGUAUUAUGUAUUGUAAACUUCUUUAGACGUAGAGAAAUAAGCGGGACGAGUCCCGCGAUGCUAGUAUACGUAGAAUAAGGAUCGGCUAACUCCGUGCCAGCAGCCGCGGUAAUACGGAGGAUCCGAGCGUUAUCCGGAUUUAUUGGGUUUAAAGGGUGCGCAGGCGGUCUUUUAAGUCAGUGGUUAAAUCGUGGAGCUCAACUCCAUCCCGACAUUGAUACUGGAGGACUUGAUUGCGGUCGAGGUUGGCGGAAUUCGCCGUGUAGCGGUGAAAUGCAUAGAUAUGGCGAAGAACUCCGAUUGCGUAGGCAGCUGACCAGACCGUAAAUGACGCUCAUGCACGAAAGUGCGGGGAUCGAACAGGAUUAGAUACCCUGGUA
rnacentral:rRNA from 1 species